ACUCAUCAACCCUGUGAACAUACCUAAAACGUUGCUUCGGCGGGAACAGACGGCCCUGUAACAACGGGCCGCCCCCGCCAGAGGACCCCUAACUCUGUUUUUAUAAUGUUUUUCUGAGUAAACAAGCAAAUAAAUUAAAACUUUCAACAACGGAUCUCUUGGCUCUGGCAUCGAUGAAGAACGCAGCGAAAUGCGAUAAGUAAUGUGAAUUGCAGAAUUCAGUGAAUCAUCGAAUCUUUGAACGCACAUUGCGCCCGCCAGUAUUCUGGCGGGCAUGCCUGUUCGAGCGUCAUUACAACCCUCAGGCCCCCGGGCCUGGCGUUGGGGAUCGGCGGAAGCCCCCUGUGGGCACACGCCGUCCCUCAAAUACAGUGGCGGUCCCGCCGCAGCUUCCAUUGCGUAGUAGCUAACACCUCGCAACUGGAGAGCGGCGCGGCCAUGCCGUAAAACACCCAACUUCUGAAUGUUGACCUCGAAUCAGGUAGGAAUACCCGCUGAACUUAAGCAUAUC
rnacentral:rRNA from 2 species